AUUGAACGCUGGCGGCAGGCCUAACACAUGCAAGUCGAACGGUAACAGGAAACAGCUUGCUGUUUAGCUGACGAGUGGCGGACGGGUGAGUAAUGUCUGGGAAACUGCCUGAUGGAGGGGAUAACUACUGGAAACGGUAGCUAAUACCGCAUAACGUCGCAAGACCAAAGAGGGGGACCUUCGGGCCUCUUGCCAUCGGAUGUGCCCAGAUGGGAUUAGCUAGUAGGUGGGGUAACGGCUCACCUAGGCGACGAUCCCUAGCUGGUCUGAGAGGAUGACCAGCCACACUGGAACUGAGACACGGUCCAGACUCCUACGGGAGGCAGCAGUGGGGAAUAUUGCACAAUGGGCGCAAGCCUGAUGCAGCCAUGCCGCGUGUAUGAAGAAGGCCUUCGGGUUGUAAAGUACUUUCAGCGGGGAGGAAGGGAGUAAAGUCAAUACCUUUGCUCAUUGACGUUACCCGCAGAAGAAGCACCGGCUAACUCCGUGCCAGCCGCCGCCGUAA
rnacentral:rRNA from 1 species